GACGAACGCUGGCGGCGUGCUUAACACAUGCAAGUCGAGCGGAAAGGCCCUUCGGGGUACUCGAGCGGCGAACGGGUGAGUAACACGUGAGUAAUCUGCCCUUGGCUUUGGGAUAACUACCGGAAACGGUGGCUAAUACCGGAUACGACAACCGUCUGCAUGGGCUGGUUGUGGAAAGUUUUUUCGGCCAGGGAUGUGCUCGCGGCCUAUCAGCUUGUUGGUGGGGUCAUGGCCUACCAAGGCUUCGACGGGUAGCCGGCCUGGGAGGGUGACCGGCCACACUGGGACUGAGACACGGCCCAGACUCCUACGGGAGGCAGCAGUGGGGAAUAUUGGACAAUGGGCGGAAGCCUGCUCCAGCAACGCCGCGUGAGGGAUGACGGCCUUCGGGUUGUAAACCUCUUUCAGUACCGACGAAGCGCCGAUGAUGGUGGUGACGGUAGGUACAGAAGAAGCACCGGCCAACUACGUG
rnacentral:rRNA from 1 species